CCUACGGGAGGCAGCAGUGAGGCAUAUUGGUCAAUGGCCGGAAGGCUGAACCAGCCAUGCCGCGUGAAGGUCAGUGCCCUAUGGGCGUUAAACUUCUUUUGUGCGGGAGCAAUAAUGGUCACGUGUGGCCAGACGAGAGUACCGUACGAAUAAGCAUCGGCUAACUCCGUGCCAGCAGCCGCGGUAAUACGGGGGAUGCAAGCGUUAUCCGGAUUUAUUGGGUUUAAAGGGUACGUAUGCUGUGAGGUAAGUCAGCGGGGAAAUGCCCACGCUCAACGGGGUGAAGUGCCAUUGAUAAUGCCUUGCUGGAAUGCGGAUGCCGUGGGAGGAAUGUGUGGUGUAGCGGUGAAAUGCAUAGAUAUCACACAGAACACCGAUUGCGAAUGCAUCUCACGAAUCCGCGAUUGACGCUGAUGCACGAAAGCGUGGGUAUCAAACAGGAUUAGAUACCCCGGUAGUC
rnacentral:rRNA from 1 species